AGAAGUCACUAUAGCAUUAAAACACAGCAGGGUGGGAGAAAUAAAAGGAAAACAAUAAAAACAAUGGCCCUUAAAAACCCAAGAGAAUGCCUCCUUUGGAAGUGUGUACUUUCUUAUUCAGAAAAGGUAUCACCUUAAUAAGAAUUAUAGGCAAAGAGGUUUCACUGUUCCAUGCUGUGUGGACGAAAAGAGGGAGAAAAGACUGACUUAUCAAAGGCACUGGCAGUUAUGAAAGACCUGAAGCAUACUCCAGUGAUCAGUUAGUGGAGAAUUAACUUCUGGAACAGUCUCAAAGAUUUUUCUUGAAAAAGUUUGACAAAAUAUUUUCCUUCUCAUGAUUUUGUCAUAAUUUGUUCAUCGGAUGAGAAUGGCAAGAAAGGGAAGUGAGAUGGGUAUUUCAGCUAUCUUCUGGAGAUCAUCAAGCACAUGCCUUGUAAAAGAAGUCUUUUCAUUAUGUCAGCAAAGAAAUCUGCAAGAAAGAAAGUUACCUUUGACAGAGAUUUUAUGAAGACCUUCCAUGUCAGCAGGCACCUACCUGGAGCCAGAGUUAGAGUUAGACCCAACACCAUAGGCACACCUGAGUUGCCUGGAAAUCAGAUGAAGCUCAAAAGGCAAACUGGUCGUCUUCAGGAGCUAAUUUGACGGGAAAAGCUCUUCAAGAAACAGCUAGCCACUACAGAAGAAAACAUCUCCCAGAAAUAAAAAAUCCACCUCUUUUAUAUACUCAAAGAUUGUCUUAGUUUCCACAUUUAUUCUAAAUAAUAUUUUUUAGUAUAAAAUUACAUUGGAACAGUCUUGUUAGCUAUAUAUAUUCUCUUUAAAUCUUG
rnacentral:lncRNA from 1 species